rnacentral:lncRNA from 1 species
CAUGUAUGUGUCCCUCUCCUCAACAAGAAGAUAAACUAAUUUCACACCAUUAAAUGCUUCCAAAUGGAGCUCCAUCAUUUGCUGAAGCUCAUCCAUCCUGGAGGCCUAUCAUUUAUUCAAGCCCCGCCCUAUUUGAGGAGCCAGCACCUCAGCCUCCACUGGUGCUGGAAAGAACAGAGGCAGCUUCUGCACACCUGCAAUGACUGAUUUGCACCAAACGACUCUAAUUAGCACUUCCAUGCUGUGAUUAGGCUUCCAGGGGAAACAUGCCAAGUGCCAUUAAUUAUGGAUGUGAUCUUAAAUUAUUCACUUGGAUUUUUUUUUUUCUUGAUGUGCCCCUUUCAUCUCCCACUAACUUUUUGUCACAUCCA